UAGGGAAUCUUCGGCAAUGGGGGGAACCCUGACCGAGCAACGCCGCGUGAGUGAAGAAGGUUUUCGGAUCGUAAAGCUCUGUUGUUAAGGAAGAACGAGUGUGAGAAUGGAAAGUUCAUGCUGUGACGGUACUUAACCAGAAAGGGACGGCUAACUACGUGCCAGCAGCCGCGGUAAUACGUAGGUCCCGAGCGUUGUCCGGAUUUAUUGGGCGUAAAGCGAGCGCAGGCGGUUAGAUAAGUCUGAAGUUAAAGGCAGUGGCUCAACCAUUGUAGGCUUUGGAAACUGUUUAACUUGAGUGCAGAAGGGGAGAGUGGAAUUCCAUGUGUAGCGGUGAAAUGCGUAGAUAUAUGGAGGAACACCGGUGGCGAAAGCGGCUCUCUGGUCUGUAACUGACGAUGAGGCUCGAAAGCGUGGGGAGCGAACAGG
rnacentral:rRNA from 1 species